UCAUCUUUUUAUUUUUCUUCAUGAGCCCACUUUCAAUCUACAGCCCAAUCCACUCAACAACUUCUGCUUCACAAAAUCAGGCUUGACAAGCUGAAAAAAUAGGAACAAAUCGGUUUCUACGUACAUAUCGCCCCAUGAUCCCACGUUUCUAUAUCAUACGAUCUUUCUCCUUUUUUUCCAUUCAGUUGCAAAUCGAUGGAAGCAUUAACAGAGAGUGCAGAGAGAAAAGAAAUUGAAAGAGAGAGAGUUGGAGAUUUCUAAUAGUCUGAUUUGAGAGACGAAUCGAGGGAGAGACGGAAGGCAAAUGCAGUGCGGCGACGGCUCCGUGUGGGCUCGGCGACGGCGGAUAACAGCCGGUGAAUACGGAGCUGAUGGCUGUCCGGUUCGGCAGCAGCUGUCGAGACUCACGGUGGCGCUGCGAUGCGAGAGAACAGAGAGGGAGCUAUCGGUUGUUUCUUUCGAAGUCUGUUCAAGGUUGAGCUGUGACGAGCGCGGUGGGUGUUGAGCAGAGCUGGUGAAGAUUUGUGUUUGCUUUUAAUAUUCCGAAUAUAUUGUGUCUUCAUACAUAAUAUUAUUCUUCUCUCGAAAUGCUUCCGCUGAAUGUUGUUUCUUUUGAGUUUAUGUAUCGUUGGGAUAUAAUCCCUUUGAGUUGUCAAUUGUUGAGAUGAUACUCUAAUUUUUUUUUAUUCGAGCUUUUCCCAUUUGUUUCGA